rnacentral:sRNA from 1 species
GGCGGCACCAGUGCUGCUAGGAAUAAUGUUGAAGGAAGCAGCUCUUCCACCUCUCCAGUCCUUCAUUGAUGGACCAUCAACUGUCUUCUGAGUAGCUGAUCACCAAAACAACAGU